GCGAGCGUGGUUCAGUGGUAAAACAUCUCCUUGCC
rnacentral:tRNA from 1 species